ensembl:lncRNA
CUGUGGUGAAACUUGUAUCUUUUGGCAAUGGCUUUAUCGACACUUUGGCGCAACCCCUUUCUUUCUUUCUUUUUUUACAAGAAGGUGACGCCUAGGCUAACAGCUGUAAUUUUGGUGCUAGGUAGCAACACAUAGCUUAAAUUCCUCAGACAGCUAACAGUGCUUUGACAGUGAUAUUUAAGGGAGUAUUAGCAAAGCACCAAACUGAACAUUGUGUCUGAAGACUACUGGAACGUGCACUUAAAAUGUUUUCAUUGUCUGAGUUAUUUUUAAUUAGAAUUAUAAGGAGACAUAUCUGGGAUACAGGCCAUUUUGCUUUAAAACUCUGCAUACGCUUUGCCUGCUCAUUUGGUGCAGCCUUAUCAAACUUUCCUGGGUCCUACUGCUAGCGGAAUUUCUGCUCCGGCUCCCACAUCCAGUGAAAUAAACACAUGGUAAAUCCUAUUCUUUCACUUUUGUUCCUUGCGCACCAAGGUGAAAGCAGUCAGUGUUUGAACCCACAGGAAGCGGAUAUUGCCAAGUGAUGUACGCUGGCUGGUCAUAUUUUUCCAUAUUAUGACAAUUACCGCAACUUAAAUGCAACCAGGAGUGCCAUUUUCCAUUUGUUUAAAUGUAGAAAUACUUCAGAGUCCAGAGAAACCUUUCAGUGUUUCUGUUGUCGAGAUCAGCAGCUUUAACCUUUAAAUUUUAUUAGUGCAUCGCUUAUUCAUACCCUCGCAUUACUUAUUUAUGCCGGGCUAUUACGCAUCAUUGAAAUGAUUAUGAUGAAGAAAUGAAUUGCCAGUAUUGUUUUGGACUGUCUGCCUCGAUUCUGUUAUUGCCCGCUGAAAGGAAAGUUUGGAGUUUUUAUUUAUUGUUUUUUUUUAACUAUUAUUUAUUCUUUAUUUCUUGGAUGAUAUUAUGAUCAGAGCGAUGCUCACACAAGGAUGCAUUUUAAAUGUCAUAAUUCAGAACCCUUAUUACAGCCAAGGCCAAUUAGUAUGGCGGUUUUUCGGGUUUUAGAAAUUCAACUUCAAAUGCAAGUCUCGGGUUUAUUUUUAUUAUUAUUUUUAAUCACACAGUGCACUAUGUAUUUCAUAGUGUUAAUAUUGGCAAUGACAUUUUGAUGCGGGAAUUAUUAUUGUUGCUGCACAGCAGCACAACAGUAAUGGAGCAGCAUGUGUCAAACAUGUGUCCAUAUAGGCCACAGGGCCAGUGUGUUUACACAAAUAUUUCUAGAGCUGUCAUUGUUAAUGAGAAAAACAAAACAAAUAAAUACAGCAGCCGGGCUUCACGCAUCACAAAUAAAUUCUUAUUGUCUUUUUCUUUUUGCUUAUCUCAGUAUAUUUUAUUCCGA